ACGUAAUCGCUGACAACCGAGACAAUGACAAAAUUGUUGGUGUAAACAAGGACAUUUUAGCGUCCCGACAGGCUUUUGUUGAGACUUGGGACACACAAUUCAAAAUCAGGACUGGUCUCCCUAAACA